GAUGAACGCUGGCGGCGUGCCUAAUACAUGCAAGUCGAGCGAACAGAUAAGGAGCUUGCUCCUUUGACGUUAGCGGCGGACGGGUGAGUAACACGUGGGUAACCUACCUAUAAGACUGGAAUAACUCCGGGAAACCGGGGCUAAUGCCGGAUAACAUUUAGAACCGCAUGGUUCUAAAGUGAAAGAUGGUUUUGCUAUCACUUAUAGAUGGACCCGCGCCGUAUUAGCUAGUUGGUAAGGUAACGGCUUACCAAGGCAACGAUACGUAGCCGACCUGAGAGGGGGAUCGGCCAAACGGGAACUGGGACCCGGUCCAGACUCCUACGGGAGGCAGCAGUAGGGAAUCUUCGGCAAAGGGCGAAAGCCUGACGGAGCAACGCCGCGUGAGUGAUGAAGGUCUUCGGAUCGUAAAACUCUGUUAUUAGGGAAGAACAAAUGUGUAAGUAACUGUGCACGUCUUGACGGUACCUAAUCAGAAAGCCACGGCUAACUACGUG
rnacentral:rRNA from 1 species